rnacentral:rRNA from 1 species
UACAGAGGGGGCAAGCGUUGUUCGGAAUUACUGGGCGUAAAGUGUGCGCAGGUGGCCGCGCAAGUCGAAGUGUGAAAUCCCCGGGCUUAACUUGGGAAUUGCGCUCGAAACUACGUGGCUCGAGUAUGGCAGAGGAAGGUGGAAUUCCACGUGUAGCGGUGAAAUGCGUAGAGAUGUGGAGGAACACCGAUGGCGAAGGCAGC